AUUGAACGCUGGCGGCAGGCCUAACACAUGCAAGUCGAACGAGUGGCGGACGUGUGAGUAAUGUCUGGGAAACUGCCCGAUGGCGGGGGAUAACUACUGGAAACGGUAGCUACUCCCUCCUACCAUCGGAUGUGCCCCGAUGGGAUUAGCUAGUAGGUGGGGUAACGGCUCACCUAGGCGACGAUCCCUAGCUGGUCUGAGAGGAUGACAAGCCACACUGGAACUGAGACACGGGCCAGACGCCGACGGGAGGCAGCAGGGGGGAAGAGUGCAAAAUGGGCGAAAGCCUGAGGCAGCAAUGCCGCGUGUAUGAAGAAGGCCGUCGGGUUGUAAAGUACUUUCAGCGAGGAGGCGUUACUCGCAGAAGAAGCACCGGCUAACUCCGUGCCAGCAGCCGCGGUAAUUC
rnacentral:rRNA from 1 species